UACGUAGGGGGCUAGCGUUGUCCGGAAUCAUUGGGCGUAAAGAGCGUGUAGGCGGUCCGGUAAGUCCGCUGUGAAAGUCGGGGGCUCAACCCUCGGAUGCCGGUGGAUACUGUCGAGCUUGAGUACGGAAGAGGCGAGUGGAAUUCCUGGUGUAGCGGUGAAAUGCGCAGAUAUCAGGAGGAACACCAAUUGCGAAGGCAGCUCGCUGGGACGUUACUGACGCUGAGACGCGAAAGCGUGGGGAGCAAACAGG
rnacentral:rRNA from 1 species